CACUUUCAACAACGGAUCUCUUGGCUCUCGCAUCGAUGAGGAACGUAGCGAAGUGCGAUAAGUAGUGUGAAU
rnacentral:rRNA from 1 species